AUCUCGGAAAAGAAAGGAUGCACUCCUGCACAACUAGCCCUCGCAUGGGUUCACCACCAGGGAGAUGAUGUUUGUCCCAUCCCAGGAACCACUAAGAUUGAAAACCUCAACCAGAACAUUGGAGCUUUAUCGGUGAAACUCACACCUGAAGAAAUGACUGAGCUCGAGACAAUUGCCCAACCAGGUUUUGUGAAAGGGGAAAGAUACUUCCCCAUGGUGCCCACUUUCACGAACUCUGAGACACCACCAUUGUCUUCUUGGAAAGCCGCCUAAAACCGGCUGAAGUUUCUAUGGUUGUUAUGGUGUAUGACAUUGAAGCGGUCUAGCUUUCUGUUAGCUAGAUCAGUGUGUUGGGAAUAAUGCUGCGUCUUUCAAGAGCAGAGUAUGGAGAUCAGUGUUGUUAAUGCCUUGAAUAAGAAAUUUAUGUAUAGAGUUCCCCAAGUGAAAACUUCAAUUUACAUUUCAUACAGUAUGAGUCUGUAACCAAACUAUAAAAAGUUUAUAUGUUCUGAUACAAACUUGAAUCUUUCAAGCUAAAGCCUUACCAAAAGAAAAGCUUCCUUGUCCAUUAACUUCUGCUCAUCUUUACCACUUGGUUUGGUUAAACUUGGUUGAUCAAUUAAAGUAUUAAACCAGGAUCCGAGUGAUUUAAGACUGCACCAAGCCUUGUUUUUUACAAAUCAAGGUGAGAUUUUUAUUCGGCAAACACAAUAACCAUCGUUACUUGGAACUGAGUGGGUCGUUCGAUUUCAGCUAAAUGUGAAACAUUUUGAGUUCAACAAUGGAAGAACAUCGAGAAUCUGAACACCUUUUCGUCAAUAAGGACCUCGUCGUGCGUCUCUCUUCUCUUUUCAUCUAAUAUAUUUCCUCAUCUGUGUUGCACUUUUUCAUGAUGUCAUCAUCUCAUUUUAGGAUUUUUUUUUUCAAUUUCUGUUACACUAAAACCUAAAAUGAUCGAUCCUCUUUAGUAGCUUAAGAAUCUCCAUGGUUGAACAAGCUUUUCCCCCACUAUUUGCAUUAGAUUCGUUGAAUUUUUGUUCUCAGGAGCUAUUUGGACAAACCCUUUUUCUGAUUUUAGUCUGUGUGUCACAUGACAGGAAGAUACAUCAGAGAUUACCAAUGCCAAAAGAAAAGUUGAAAGCCUCUUCUGUGUCAUGAGAAAGAGAAUUUGUAGACACAAGUCUGUGGAUGAUGAUGAUAUCUUUCCGGAUUUAGAUAGUGAUGCACAGGUAGGUGAUGAUGGUGAUGAGGAUAUACGAAAUUGUCUGAGCCCCGAAAGUGACUUCUGGUUUGAGAAUCUUAUGGAUAAUCCUUAUGAUCCACUGGAUGAGGGUUCGUUUGUAGACGACUGCUGCGGUGGCAGUGACACAGACCUAUCUGAAUCUUCAGAAUUUGAUUGUAUAUCUGAACAUGUUCUAGAUGAAAAUGAUUUGUUAAACGGAUGGAAAUUUCUGUCUGUAUGGGCCAAUGAAGAUGAGGGAACUCUGGUUAGUAGGUGGUCUUCAGAAACUUUAAAUUCUAUCUUGUUGUUAUCUCCUGAUGAGAGUAGUGCAAGGUCCAAGGAAGAUGACGUGUUGUCAUCUGUUUCUCCCUGGCUUUACUCUAACCAUAGCAAUGACAUCUCUCUCUUCCAUUCUGAAAGGAAAGAAGAUCAAAUGUUCUGUAGCCCUGGGAAUUCUGAAGAUUUUUUGAGGUGUAGUGUCAGCAAAGAAGAUCCAGAAAUCCCAUGCAACUCUGGUAUCCUCGAGAAUGAUGUCGACAAUUCGUAUGCUAAUGAUUUUAGUUGUGGAGAUGUCAUCAACAAGCAUGGGUCUAUGGAGAUAAUGUGCAUUGAUGAUGAGCAUAGACUGUGGAAUAAGGAUGAUGAACCGGUACCGAUCUGCAUUGUACCUCCUGAUGGUUGGGAAAGCAUAUCGCCAAAAAUGUGUUUACUUCAUCAGACCGACAGAUGUAUCAAUGAAUACAAUGUUCAUGAUGGUAAUAUUGGCCUUGAAAUCUCUCCAAUGCGUUUAACAAAAACUCUUGAAAGACCUAGUAGGCCAUGGUCAGUUUGUGGCUCUGUUGCUGCAGUAAGAAACUCACCUCUAAUGGAAGAUAGCCCAGGUGCUUGUAGUUCUUUGGAUGAAAAAUUAUAUGAAAAUGUUAAUAGCUCUGAGGACAGGGAUGAAGAUCUUGCUCAAACCACCCCAUCAACUCUAUAUCAGGACGAAGUAAAUAGUGGAGAUGAGAUUGACAUUGAUGCAAUGGUAAACCCUGAUUACUCUUUACACAAGCGUGUCACAAGUUAUCCUUCAAUGUGUUUCCUGAUCUCUGAUAUCACAUGAAUUUAUCUCCAGAUCCGCAAAUUGAAUCUCGUCCCAGAUUAUUCAGUUUCAAGCUUCAACAGGGAAGGUAAGCCAUAUGGCUUUUGAUGUCAAAUCAAUCAAGUCACUAGUUCACACUGUUGAAUCCAAUAUCCAGUUAUGUUUCUCUCAAAGUCAAACUAGAUUUGUCUCAAUUAUGGUUUGCUUCAUGUUACCUAGAAUGGAACAUGUCCAAGCACCCAAAACAUGCAUUAGCUGGAUUGCAACUCCAAACAAGAACUUCAUUGCAAAGAGCAGUUAUGUUUCAUGGGGCAAUUGCUGUCGUGCAUUGUCGUGAUUCAAAGCAUUUUGUCAGAAAACGCGAGGUAUGUUAGACAAAUCAUUUUCUCCUGUCUUGAUGCUUUCAUUUCCUAUCAAGUCCUCUUAGUUACAUGGCAGAGGAUCAUUUAUUUGUCAUAGGUAAUUAUUGGGAGAUCAUUUGAUGGCCUGAAUGUUGACAUUGACUUGGGUAAAUAUAAAUGUGGGAGCAAGAUAUCUAGGCGUCAGGUGAUCCUCUUUCCCAUCUCCCAUAUUAAAACUACAGGGCACUAAUGAAGUUCUUAAUUACCACCUUGCUAAUUAGUUGUUUAUGUCAUAUACUUUUCUCUCGAUAUUUUUGAUAAGGCAUUGGUUAAGCUAGAGAACUACGGAUUAUUCUCUCUAAAGAACCUUGGAAAGCAACAUCUCCUUGUAAAUGGAGAGAAAAUCGAUCCAGGACAAAUUGUAACUCUCAAAUCGUGUAGUUCAAUCAAUGUAAGCACGAGUGACGAGCUUAUGCUUUCGUACAACUUACAAGCAUGUUUAUGCAUCUUUCUGUAACUAAAACUCCCAAAUUUUGCAGAUCAGGGGAAUAACUUUUAUGUUUAAGGUUAACGAAGAAGCAGUAAGACAAUUCUUGAAGAACAGUUCAAGGAGAAAGAGUGAGGACGACAAAUUCAGAUGGUGCGAAUAAAUUUUCUUAAUACCUUCUGCUCUACCACUCUCAGCAUAAUCUUAAUGACCCAUCAAUAUGAUUUAUGUCUCACCUGGUUUAGGAUUAGGAGUUUAGAUACCUAAUGCCAAUGAAUGAGUGAUCUCAUCGUAUCAGUGUUAAUGCCUUGAAGAAUAAACUAUGUAUAGAGUUCCCUAAGUGAGAACUUCAAACUAUAAUUUCAUAAGUUAGAACUCAAACUAACUAUAAUUUCCCUAAGUUCCCUAAGUUAAUGCCUUGAAAAAUAAACUUAGGUUUAGAGUUAGAGUUCCCUAAGUGAGAACUUCAAACUAUAAUUUCAUACACUUUGACCAAUCUCUAUUGGAAGAUCUGUUCUGUAAAUCUCUUACAAGCUAAAACCUUACCGUCCUAAAGACUAAGGAUCUGUUACUGCUCACAUCUCACCCAACUCUACCAAGGAUCUGUUGCGACGAAUUGCAUCGGUUCAAUAUCAUUUGAUUAUUUUUUGAUUGAUAAAAUUUGGUUGGUUUCUUUUGGUUUAAAAUAGUUGGUUCGAUUAAACCAGGAUAUGAAAGCGUAUUUGGUUUUUUAUUGAUCUAUCAUCAUCACCACUCCACUCGUUUAAAACUUUACAAGAGAUAUAGAGAGAGUUGUUGUUACAGCAAUCCAUGGCGGCUUGCAAAGUCAAGAGGAUUAAGCUGGGAAGCCAAGGCUUCGAGGUAUCGGUGCAAGGCCUAGGUUGCGUGGGCCUCAACGGCCAUUACGGUGCUUCGAAGCCGGAAACUGACGCCAUCGCUCUCCUCCACCACGCUGUUAACUCCGGCGUCACUUUCUUUGACACCUCCGAUAUCUAUGGCCCUGAGACCAACGAAGUUAUCCUCGGAAAGGUUCGAUUUUUCGAAAUUCCCAUGUCUACAGUUUGAUCUUGUUUUAUUUGAUUGUUAAUAAGGGCAACAAAGAACGACUUUAGCAAUGGGAAUUGGCCUCGAUUUUUUUUUUGUCAGGCUUUGAAGGAUGGGGUGAGGGAGAAAAUGGAACUUGCCACCAAAUUUGGAAUCAGUUAUGGAGAGAGGAAGAGAGAGAUAAAGGGAGAUCCUGCUUAUGUUAGGGCUGCUUGUGAGGCUAGUUUGAAGCGGCUAGAUGUUGCCUGCAUUGAUCUGUAUUAUCAGCAUCGGAUAGAUACUCGUGUCCCUAUUGAAAUCACUGUAAGCCUUCUCACUUUUAAAUGAAAGUGGAAGUUACAUAGUUCAAUACUUCAGGUGUGCUUGAGUUCAUCUCAGUGACAGUGAGCUUCACAUCUUCGGCUUGCUAUAUGUUCGGACUAAUAAAGUUGAAGAAUUUAGGAUUUGGAGAUGAUGAUGUCUGCUUAGGUUACUAUAAUCUUUAACCAAGCAAGAUUGAGGUUCUGUCGUCAACUUAUUUAAAAGCCAGCUUUUGAGGAUAGGGUGCCCUUCUGAUGUGGGAUGCUUACAUCGUCACUUUUUUUUUUCUUUUUCUAAUGUGGGAUCUUAUCAUCCCCCCUAAUGAUUUUUCGUUAGACUAGACUCCUCACGAGUUGGUUUUGAGCUCUCUAGUUUGUUUUCCACACUUCUUGACCUUUAUGCUGGCACCUUUUUCUAAACUUCAACAAUAUAUAUUUUGUCUCUCAACUCUAAGAUUGGAGAACUGAAGAAGCUGGUUGAAGAGGGUAAAAUAAAGUACAUCGGUUUGUCUGAAGCCUCUGCCUCAACUAUCAGAAGAGCGCAUGCAGUUCACCCAAUUACUGCAGUGCAGUUAGAAUGGUCCUUGUGGACGAGAGACGUUGAAGAAGAAAUCGUCCCGACCUGCAGGUAUCGAUAAUAAAAAAAGGGAGCCCAAGCGGCAUUAAGAAUAGCUUAUUUUAAUCCUCCUUUCUUAAAGCACUAUCCAUCAAUCAUGUAACUUCUUGUCUUUCUUUUUUCAGGGAACUUGGGAUUGGAAUUGUUGUGUACAGUCCUCUAGGAAGAGGUUUCUUUGCAUCUGGACCCAAGCUUGUUGAGAACCUAGACAAUAAUGACUUCAGAAAGGUAAGUACAUAGGCUUUCUUUGACUUGGUUGAUUGAUGAACCUUGAAUAAUCUGUGAUAAAUCAAAUAACUUAAUACAAACUCUGUUACUGCAGGCUUUACCAAGAUUCCAACAGGAAAACUUAGACCACAACAAGAUUCUCUAUGAGAAAGUUUGUGCAAUGUCGGAAAAGAAAGGAUGCACUCCCGCACAACUAGCCCUAGCAUGGGUUCACCACCAGGGAGAUGAUGUAUGUCCCAUCCCAGGAACCACUAAGAUCGAAAACCUCAACCAGAAUAUUGGAGCUUUAUCAGUGAAACUCUCUCCUGAAGAGAUGUCUGAGCUCGAGACCAUAACCCAACCAGAGUCUGUGAAGGGAGAA
rnacentral:lncRNA from 1 species